rnacentral:rRNA from 1 species
GGAAUAUUGGACAAUGGGGGCAACCCUGAUCCAGCCAUGCCGCGUGUGUGAAGAAGGCCUUUUGGUUGUAAAGCACUUUAAGCAGGGAGGAGAGGCUAAUGGUUAAUACCCAUUAGAUUAGACGUUACCUGCAGAAUAAGCACCGGCUAACUCUGUGCCAGCAGCCGCGGUAAUACAGAGGGUGCGAGCGUUAAUCGGAAUUACUGGGCGUAAAGCGAGUGUAGGUGGCUCAUUAAGUCACAUGUGAAAUCCCCGGGCUUAACCUGGGAACUGCAUGUGAUACUGGUGGUGCUAGAAUAUGUGAGAGGGAAGUAGAAUUCCAGGUGUAGCGGUGAAAUGCGUAGAGAUCUGGAGGAAUACCGAUGGCGAAGGCAGCUUCCUGGCAUAAUAUUGACACUGAGAUUCGAAAGCGUGGGUAGCAAACAGGAUUAGAUACCCUGGUAGUCCACGCCGUAAACGAUGUCUACUAGCCGUUGGGGUCCUUGAGACUUUAGUGGCGCAGUUAACGCGAUAAGUAGACCGCCUGGGGAGUACGGCCGCAAGGUUAAAACUCAAAUGAAUUGACGGGGGCCCGCACAAGCGGUGGAGCAUGUGGUUUAAUUCGAUGCAACGCGAAGAACCUUACCUGGUCUUGACAUAGUGAGAAUCCUGCAGAGAUGCGGGAGUGCCUUCGGGAAUUCACAUACAGGUGCUGCA